UAUGAUUCUAUGGUAUGUGGAUGGAAGCUUCACCUGUCUGAAGCUAGGGAGGUUCAGAUCUGUACCUCCCAUCUUCCAAAGAGACAAGCAAAUGAAGAAUGAGCUGUUGGCUUCUGUUGUAUUUAAUCUCUGCCACAAGAUUGGAAACACCUCAAAGUGACAGUGCUCAUUUCCUGAGAGCCACCUCAAAGCAAAAGGUUCGGUUAAUUCCAGAAUGAUAAGAUCCAUAAAAGGAUCUUACCUGGUGAAAUUACCUUUUUGGGAAAGUGCUUCUCACUGUCAAGGGAAAACUGGAUCGCACUGAAGAAAAACAUAGAACAAAGCAGCGUUUUCCUUCUGUCACUGCACAUCCACAGGGAAGAGUAAUUUAUGGAAACGUGAAGAUGGAGGAGUAAUGGAUUUCUCUGUCAAAAUGAUGAGUGAAAGAAAGAACUUUCAAAGCCCUCACAGGAUUUCUGUCAUGGAUCAGUGGCACCUUCCAGGAGGGAGUGAGCUUUUCCAAGCCAAAAGAAAAGUAUUUAUUGUCUGAGAGUGACAUGCAGGAAAUUAGGCUUAUAAAUUGUGUUUAAAUGAUUAUAGUUUCCAACUUUCCUUAAUUCUAAUCUUAAUCUACUGCGAAGUGUAUGUUUUAA